rnacentral:rRNA from 1 species
GGAAUUACUUGGGCGUAAAGCGUUCGUAGGCGGUUAUUUAAGUUAGAUGUGAAAGCCCCGGGCUUAACCUGGGAACUGCAUUUAAAACUGGGUAACUCGAGUUUAGGAGAGGGAAGUGGAAUUUCAGGUGUAGCAGUGAAAUGCGUAGAGAUCUGAAGGAACACCAGUGGCGAAGGCGACUUCCUGGACUAAAACUGACGCUGAGGAACGAAAGCGUGGGUAGCAAACGGGAUUAGAUACCCCGGGUAGUCCACGCCGUAAACGAUGUCAACUAGCCGUUGGGCCUAUAUACAGGUUUAGUGGCGGAGCUAACGUAUUAAGUUGACCGCCUGGGGAGUACGGCCGCAAGGUUAAAACUCAAAUGAAUUGACGGGGGCCCGCACAAGCGGUGGAGCAUGUGGUUUAAUUCGAUGCAACGCGAAGAACCUUACCUACCCUUGACAUCCAGAGAAUCUGUUAGAGAUAGUAGAGUGCCUUCGGGAACUCUGAGACAGGUGCUGCAUGGCUGUCGUCAGCUCGUGUCGUGAGAUGUUGGGUUAAGUCCCGUAACGAGCGCAACCCUUAUCCUUAGUUGCUAGCAGGUAAUGCUGAGAACUCUAAGGAGACUGCCGGUGAUAA